GACGUAGGGUGCAAGCGUUGUCCGGAUUUACUGGGCGUAAAGAGCGCGUAGGCGGUCUGUUAAGUGAGAAGUGAAAUCUCCAGGGCUCAACCCGGAAACUGCUUUUCAUACUGGCAGACUUGAGGAAAGCAGAGGUUUGUGGAAUUCCUGGUGUAGCGGUGAAAUGCGCAGAUAUCAGGAAGAACACCCGUGGCGAAGGCGGCUCUCUGGGACGGUACUGACGCUGAGACGCGAAAGCGUGGGGAGCGAACAGG
rnacentral:rRNA from 1 species